GCGGCGCUGCAUUGUGUGAACAGGCGGCGCCACCACUUGUGCAGCCUUGGUGGAAAAAACUAGUUUCUGCCAACAGUAUGUGCUAGAAUUGAAUCUUUGAGUGUCUUGAAGACAGUGUUGGGGAGCUUCAUAUAUGAAGUAGAG